UUUUAACUUAAAAGUAUAUUUUUUACCGCAAAAAUAACGGAAAACGCAAGUGUUUUAAAGUUAAAAAUGCGAUUAAAAAAAACCUUUUUACCCAAAUAUUGUUUCAUUUUUUUUAUUUUGGAAUUUAAUUUAUUGUUUUUCUUUUGUCUAUUUUUAGAAGUUAGUUAAAGAAUUUUAAACUCGACUUCGAGUCGAAUUCAUCGAGAUUUUGUGUCAUAUUUUUAAGACAUAGAACCAAAUAACUGAAUAUUAUAACUCAGCUAAUGAAUCAAAAGAGAAGAAAGAAAUGAAUAAAUAAUAGUCAGUCUCUUUUGUUUUAUUUUGUUUAUUUUAAAAUUUUAAAGGUUGAUAAGCAGUUGAGCUGUUCGCAAGCCUCAGUAGCAGCAGCCAAAAGGUACGGUGAAUGUCAAGAAAUAAGCUGCAACAGCAAUUAAGCAUAAUGAACUGCUGCAACAAUUAGGUUGUUAAUAAGUUAUUGACUUACUUGAUUCAUUUUGUUACUCAUCUUCUUUGUUAAAACUUAGUAUAAAUAUUGUAGGUUCUUUGUAUUCAUGUUGAACUUAGUGAAGAAAUCAUUCUUUCUUUCUUCUCUUUGA